CGAGUGGGGCAUUCGUGUACUGAGGACACAUUCUUGUUAAUGUCUUGUCCUACGACAUUUUUUUCAUUUAAGGUGGUGUUUUAUGCUAAGAUUGUAAUAUUAGAGAUUGGAGAAAAGUAACAAUUAAAAAACGAAGGUGUUUUCAUUAUAUUUAUAUGCAAUAGACUUGAAACUGAAAUUUGAAGAUAUAUAAGUGCUAUAGUCAGAAUAAAAAAAAA
rnacentral:lncRNA from 1 species